UGGGGAAUAUUGGACAAUGGGCGCAAGCCUGAUCCAGCCAUGCCGCGUGAGUGACGAAGGUCUUCGGAUUGUAAAGCUCUUUUAGCAGGGAAGAUAAUGACGGUACCUGCAGAAUAAGCCCCGGCUAACUUCGUGCCAGCAGCCGCGGUAAUACGAAGGGGGCUAGCGUUGUUCGGAAUUACUGGGCGUAAAGCGCACGUAGGCGGAUUGAUAAGUUAGAGGUGAAAUCCCGGGGCUCAACCUCGGAACUGCCUUUGAUACUGUUAGUCUCGAGUCCGAUAGAGGUGAGUGGAAUUCCUAGUGUAGAGGUGAAAUUCGUAGAUAUUGGGAAGAACACCAGUGGCGAAGGCGGCUAACUGGUCCGGUACUGACGCUGAGGUGCGAAAGCGUGGGGAGCAAACAGGAUUAGAUACCCACGUAGUCCCUGAGCGGGCUGGCAAGGCGCAU
rnacentral:rRNA from 1 species